rnacentral:rRNA from 1 species
CAAUAGCGUAUAUUAAAGUUGUUGCAGUUAAAAAGCUCGUAGUUGGAUUUGUGGCGUACGGUGUGUUCCGGGCACUUGUCGCCUGAGUAACCUGCUGUUGCCAUCCUUGGGUGGAACCUGUGUGGCAUUAGGUUGUCGUGCAGGGGAUGCCCAUCAUUUACUGUGAAAAAAUUAGAGUGUUCAAAGCAGGCUUAUGCCGUUGAAUAUAUUAGCAUGGAAUAAUGAGAUAGGACUUUUUUGCUAUUUUGUUGGUUUGCGCAAAGAGGUAAUGAUUAAUAGGGACAGUUGGGGGUAUUCGUAUUCCAUUGUCAGAGGUGAAAUUCUUGGAUUUUUGGAAGACGAACUACUGCGAAAGCAUUUACCAAGGAUGUUUUCAUUAA